UGUCUUUUCGCCCAGUGGAAAUGAUGUGGUAGGUAAGUGUGUGUGUGAGAGAGGGUCAGGGCCCACGCGUGGCCGACACUGGCUGAGCCGCGGCCGAGUGCUGCUCUGACUCAUCCAUGAGGAUGGGAGAAGAAGGCCGUGUUUAAUUUCACGCGCCUGUGCCGGCAACCGGGAUGUCGGUAACAGUUUGUGGCGGUUAUGUGAAGGCCGGGCGGUGGUGGAGCCCGGAUUGACGGGAGUCACGUGGAUGAAGAGACCAUGUGCUGGGAAAGAAUGGGCCUUUGAGCACAGCCACAUUCUAUCAAUGUGCGCUGGGAUCUUUUGGAAGUUGUACCUGCUGGAUCCUAGCGUCCAUUCAUGACACUAACCAGUACACGCAAAAUGAGUGAGACUGCAUUUAUCCAUCCUGAAUGAGGAAGAUGGUGAAAACCAGGGAUGCAAAAACUGAAUGCACUGUGAUGAAGGGGCAACAUUUGUUGGAAGACAGCUGGGGAUAGCAAGAACAGCUGAGUGAUUUUGAAUUGACAAGUUCAUGGGGAUCAUUUGGGAAAAGUUGGAUGUGAAGUAAGAGUGAGGACUGUAUUUUAUCCAUCCUGAAUGAGGAAGAUGGUGAAAACCAGGAAUGCAGAAACUGAAUGCACUGUGAUGAAGAAAUUGAAAACCCAACGUGGGCAUCCAGCAAGGUUGCUCUUGUUUGGCUCUGUCCAUGUGGCAUAUGGGAGUGUAGACAUUCUGUCUGUGACACACAGUCCCGUUCCGCGACGUUGGAGAGAAAGCAUGUCCCUGGCUUUCAGCUGAUACUGCUUCACCAGCUGUGGUGUACUUCACACGAGUGCUGUUUGAGUUGUAUAUGCAACUAUGUACAAAACCAAGUUAUCACUAAACUUUUGUAUGUUUUGCAUAUUUAAAUAAAAUUAAAAUGCAAGAGAUCAGUUUUUCUCCA